rnacentral:rRNA from 1 species
CCGCGGUAAUACGUAGGGUGCAAGCGUUGUCCGGAAUUACUGGGCGUAAAGAGCUCGUAGGCGGUUUGUCGCGUCGUCUGUGAAAACUCGAGGCUCAACCUCGAGCUUGCAGGCGAUACGGGCAGACUUGAGUACUGCAGGGGAGACUGGAAUUCCUGGUGUAGCGGUGAAAUGCGCAGAUAUCAGGAGGAACACCGGUGGCGAAGGCGGGUCUCUGGGCAGUAACUGACGCUGAGGAGCGAAAGCGUGGGUAGCGAACA